rnacentral:rRNA from 1 species
CGGGGGGAGCAAGCGUUGUACGGAUUUACUGGGCGUAAAGGGCGCGUAGGCGGCCACCGCAAGUCGACUGUGAAAUCUCCGGGCUUAACCCGGAAAGGUCAGCCGAUACUGCGGGGCUAGAGUGCAGAAGGGGCAACUGGAAUUCUCGGUGUAGCAGUGAAAUGCGUAGAUAUGCGGAGGAACACCGAUGGCGAAGGCAAUCCCCUGGACCUGUACUGACGCUCAUGGCACGAAAGCGUGGGGAGCAAACAGGAUUAGAUACCCUGGUAGUCCACGCCCUAAACGAUGUCAACUGGUUGUUGGGUCUUUACUGACUCAGUAACGAAGCUAACGCGUGAAGUUGACCGCCUGGGGAGUACGGCCGCAAGGUUG